AGCAGCCGCGGUAAUUCCAGCUCCAAUAGCGUAUAUUAAAGUUGUUGCAGUUAAAAAGCUCGUAGUUGAAUUUUGGGUCUGGCCGGGCGGUCCGCCCUCUGGGUGAGCACUGUUCCGACGUCGGGCCUAUCCUUCUGGUGAGUCGGCAUGUCCUUUAUUGGGUGUGUCGGGGAACCAGGACCAUUACCUUGAAAAAAGUUAGAGUGUUCAAAGCAGGCGUAUGCUCGGAUACAUUAGCAUGGAAUAAUGAAAUUAGGACGCGUGGUGCUAUUUUUGGUUGGUUUCUAGAACCGCCGUAAUGAUUAAUAGGGAUAGUUGGGGGCAUUAGUAUUCAAUUGUCAGAGGUGAAAUUCUUGGAUUUAUUGAAGACUAACUUCUGCGAAAGCAUUUUGCCAAGGAUGUUUUCAUUAAUCAAGAACGGAAGUUAGGGGUAUCGAAGACGAUCAGAUACCGUCGUAGUCUUAACCAUAAACUAUGCCGACUAGGAAUCGGGCGAUGUUAUUCUCAUGACUCGCCCUGG
rnacentral:rRNA from 1 species